GUAUACGUAGUGGCAAGCGUAUCCGGAUUUAUNGGGCGUAAAGCGAGCGCAGGCGGUUUUUAAGUCUGAUGUGAAAGCCCUCGGCUUAACCGAGGAAGCGCAUCGGAAACUGGGAAACUUGAGUGCAGAAGAGGACAGUGGAACUCCAUGUGUAGCGGUGAAAUGCGUAGAUAUAUGGAAGAACACCAGUGGCGAAGGCGGCUGUCUGGUCUGUAACUGACGCUGAGGCUCGAAAGCAUGGGUAGCGAACAGGAUUAGAUACCCUGGUAGUCCAUGCCGUAAACGAUGAAUGCUAGGUGUUGGAGGGUUUCCGCCCUUCAGUGCCGCAGCUAACGCAUUAAGCAUUCCGCCUGGGGAGUACGACCGCAAGGUUGAAACUCAAAGGAAUUGACGGGGGCCCGCACAAGCGGUGGAGCAUGUGGUUUAAUUCGAAGCAACGCGAAGAACCUUACCAGGUCUUGACAUCUUUUGAUCACCUGAGAGAUCAGGUUUCCCCUUCGGGGGCAAAAUGACAGGUGGUGCAUGGUUGUCGUCAGCUCGUGUCGUGAGAUGUUGGGUUAAGUCCCGCAACGAGCGCAACCCUUAUGACUAGUUGCCAGCAUUUAGUUGGGCACUCUAGUAAGACUGCCGGUGACAAACCGGAGGAAGGUGGGGAUGACGUCAAAUCAUCAUGCCCCUUAUGACCUGGGCUACACACGUGCUACAAUGGAUGGUACAACGAGUUGCGAGACCGCGAGGUCAAGCUAAUCUCUUAAAGCCAUUCUCAGUUCGGACUGUAGGCUGCAACUCGCCUACACGAAGUCGGAAUCGCUAGUAAUCGCGGAUC
rnacentral:rRNA from 2 species